AUGUAUCCUAUUAUUUCUGAAAUCACUUUGCCUAUAUGUCCUCAAAAUACCUAAAAAUAUACACUCCUUACUAGAUGGCACUAAAUUUCAUUUUAAAUUUUAAAAGAGGAAAAAUGUUAGUGCCUUUUAUCCUGGAAUCUGACAUUUCUUCUUGGGUCAGAAUAUCUGGAGUUUCUGUGGUUCAUCAAUGUCCAGGAAACUAAGCACUAAACCUUUCACAGAUUUCUGCUAUAAAGAUUUUUACAAACAUACACUGAUGCAAAGGCUCAGUUGUCACCUCGAAAGACAGUGGUGUUCCUCAGCCUUCCUGUCUGGCCCUGAUUAGCACAGACAUAAAUAGUGUAGGCCUCUGGUGUGGCCUUGUCACAGUUCACUCACCUUGGCUAUUAAUGGCCUUUACCUGACAGAGCAAAUGACCUGUCAUGGGUCGAGUGAACAAAAGAAAUCAUAAAUAUUCAAGCAAAAGGGGAAAAAAUAUAGGCACAUGUAAAGUUCUAACCCAAGGUCACCCAGCCUAUAGCUGUCAGCCAGAAAUUGUCACCGUCUUUCCUCCCAUGAGGCAUUACUGCGUGGAGAACAUGUGUUCCUGUGACCUGGCUUCCAUGUUGGACUCGGACACCAAGGCCUGGAUUCACCACCACUCCACCACUGCAGCGGGAGCUCAAGGAGUCUCAGCUUAUUUCUUAGGAAAUUACCUCCAGGCCUGCCAAAGUCACAGAGAGCUGUGGGAUUUCACUCGUGUCUUUGCAUGUGGAACACUUGAACAUCCCUCGUGA
rnacentral:lncRNA from 1 species